AACGAACGCUGGCGGCAGGCUUAACACAUGCAAGUCGAACGAGAUCUUCGGAUCUAGUGGCAGACGGGUGAGGAACACGUGGGAACAUCCCUUUCAGUUCGGAAUAACGUUGGGAAACUAACGCUAAUACCGGAUACGUCCUUCGGGAGAAAGAUUUAUCGCUGAAAGAUUGGCCCGCGUCUGAUUAGCUAGUUGGUGAGGUAACGGCUCACCAAGGCUACGAUCAGUAGCUGAUCUGGGAGGAUGAUCAGCCACAUUAGGACUGAGACACGGCCCAAACUCCUACGGGAGGCAGCAGUGGGGAAUAUUGGACAAUGGGCGCAAGCCUGAUCCAGCCAUGCCGCGUGAGUGAUGACGGCCUUCGGGUUGUAAAGCUCUUUUGUCCGGGAGGAUAAUGACUGUACCGGAAGAAUAAGCCCCGGCAAACUUCGUGCCAGCAGCCGCAGUAA
rnacentral:rRNA from 1 species